GAGAAAGUCAUAAAGAUUAUGGGGUUGACUUGGAAUCAAUUUUUUGAGGAUUCAAUUCCUUCCUUUCUCA
rnacentral:tRNA from 1 species